CCUUGAUCAGUAAUGAUUUGUUGAUUUCUCUUUUAGACCUGUUUGGGUUAGUCUAAGACUUCUUGAUUAAUUCGCUAAAAGACUAUACUCAAUUUUUGAUACUAGCUAUCAAAGUUAGAUCUGAUAACAUUGUCACGGUCAAACAGUGAACAGAGUGAUAAUAUUCUAGUCAUUUUUAAAAAGAGAACAAUUGACCUAUUAGUAUAUG
rnacentral:lncRNA from 1 species